CAAUGCUUUGUUAGAAUAUUGCAAAUGAAAUUCGUAAUGAGACAGGUUUCAAUAUAGAUAUAUAUAGGAUAUGACAUUCUGGUGUAGUUUAAUUGAUUAGAUAAAAACCUUAAUCGAUUAAGCCGAAGUUUAUGUUUCAAUGACAUUAUGGUGCAGUUUAAUCGAUUAGGUAAAACCUUAAUUGAUUAGGCCAAAGUUUCUGUUUUAAUCGAUUAGGUUAUUAAUGUUAUCAAUUAAAACAGACAAUUUUGUCAUUUUUUUCUUCUUAUGAGUUCUGACAUGCUUUAACUGAUUGCUAACUAACAUAAUGGAUUAAUAGCAUCAAAAUUGCAGAUUGUAAACUGUCUAACCCAGUUACAUUCAUCUAUACAUGAUAUAUGUAUCUAACAUGAUUUUCCUAUGAUUUUAAACAUUGAUCCAUCAAGAAAGAACAUAUGAUUAAUUCAUCAUCAAAAACAUUUUACCAAAUUUAGAAGGGAAAAGCUCCCCCUUUCAACACUAACCGGUAUAAAAAGUUACUUUUUAUAUACAAAUUUAUCUCUUUCCUAAUAAACUUUUUAUAUCGGUUUCAGAUUCAGUAUAAAAAGUCAAAUACUUUCUAUACCGAUUCAAAAACUGGUAUAAAUUUUUUUUAACUCAUAUAAAAAAGCUUUUCUGAUAUAGUGACUCUUCCUUUUCUUUUUAAAAUAUAAAAGUUUAUGUUUUUAAGACUAUUUUAAUCUUAUAAUAUGUGUCAAAUGAAUAUAAAUGUAUCUUAUCCUACUAUGACUUGAUUUAGACCCUUUAGUCUUGUGUGGCAUUGUUGCAAAUCAAGAAUCUCAACAAAAUCUAUAUAUUUAUCCAUAAAGAUCUCUAAAGAAAUAUAUAAAAAAGGAAAACCCAAAAAUUAAUUUUUUUAUAAAUUACAAUAAUUUAUACGAGUUAGAAAUAAAAAAAAAAAUUGGUAACAAAGUUUUUUCAAUCAGUUUAAUCACUAAUUUCAUUUUUCGUAUUUUUUGUUUUAAAAGUUCUUGAAGAAAGAACUCGUACAAGAUUAAAUAUAUUUUUAAAAUGUAAAUUAAUUUAUGUAUACUAUACACAUAUAUACAGACUAUAUUACAUUUUGAUUUAUAUUUUAAUGAUAAAUUAAAAGUAUUAUUUUAAUUUAUUUAAAUACGACUACUAAUUUAAAUUCAAACAGAAAAAAUUAAAUAUAGUGGUGUUCCUUUCAAAUUAAAUUGAAACAUUCGAAACUUUUAAAUAUUAUUAAAAAUAAAAUAAUAUAUACGUUAAAAGAAGUUCUAUGAAUGUUUCUAAUCCAUAGAAUUUUAUAUGGUUUAUGAGUUGUUUUUAUCUUGUGAAUUUUUUUAAUAAAGGAUUUAUUUCAGCUGUCAGUUUUUUUAAUCCAAAUUCAUAUGGUGAAAUCCUAUAAAAUAAUACUAUAAAAUGCACUAAGACGUAUCUAAUUAACCAUAAACAUAAAGGUCUUUUUAUUCAUAAUUUUGUAGUACAAUUAAGAAGCAUAUUUUUUAUUUGAUUUACAUUCACAUAGACAUAAGUCUGAUGGUCUUGUCUUGAACACAACAUCAUAACUUACACAAAGCAUUGAAGUGAGCAAAGAAUACUGAUUCAUUCAUUGCUAGGAAGUUGUAAACAUGACAAUGCAAGAAAACACAAAGCAGAUUCUCUUAUUAUUUAAGCAGUAGUAAGAUAAGAGAGGAUGUUGUUGCAUGUUCUAGGCAUGGUUGUUGUCUUCCACUGGAGGGUACUUUCCAUAAGGUGGUUUCUUCUUGUAUGGUGGCUUUUUGUAUGGUGGUUUGUAGAAAGGUGGUUUUGGCUUGUAAAUGGGAUGCUUAUAAAUAGGAGGCUUGUAAAUUGGAUGCUUCUUGAUUGGUUUGUAAUAAGUAGCAAAACCUUGAGGAAUGAGAAUUAGGGCAGCAAGAAGUAACACCAGAAAGCUUGAAAAGGAAGCCAUUUUUAGGGUUGGUGUGUUAGCAGACUGAGUAAUAUGUUAGUAUAUAUAGUAGUAAGGAAGUUCAAUGUAUUAUGUAGGUGUAAUGUCUCAAUCUAGGUCAUUAAUGAUUUGCUUUGUCACACUUUGAUAUUUGCCAAAGUUUGGUGUGAUUAUUCAUCAUUGAUUUAGACCCUUUGGUCCCA
rnacentral:lncRNA from 1 species